UAGGGAAUAUUGGACAAUGGGUGAGAGCCUGAUCCAGCCAUGCCGCGUGCAGGAAGAAGGCGUUAUGCGUUGUAAACUGCUUUUUGCCAGGGGAUAAAAAGACCGUGCGCGGUUAAUUGAAGGUACCUGGUGAAUAAGCCACGGCUAACUACGUGCCAGCAGCCGCGGUAAUACGUAGGUGGCAAGCGUUGUUCGGAUUUACUGGGCGUAAAGGGCGCGUAGGCGGCAAUUCAAGUCAUCUGUGAAAUCUCCGGGCUUAACUCGGAACGGUCAGAUGAUACUGCUUUGCUAGAGUGCAGAAGGGGCAAUCGGAAUUCUUGGUGUAGCGGUGAAAUGCGUAGAUAUCAAGAGGAACACCUGAGGUGAAGACGGGUUGCUGGGCUGACACUGACGCUGAGACGCGAAAGCCAGGGGAGCAAACGGGAUUAGAUACCCAUGUAGUCCCUGAGCGGGCUGGCAAGGCGCAU
rnacentral:rRNA from 1 species